GCUUAAGUGGGGUAGCGGUAACCUUGGUGCUUGCCAUUGCAAGAACUUCCUGCUUCGGAUUGCACUAGCCCCGCGUUCGACUCGCGGCUUAAGCA